GUUGAGUUCUUCUAGUGGUAGGAAACAGGUGGACGCGCGGCCUGAACGUUGGUUCGAAUCCAGCACUCAACCCCA
rnacentral:tRNA from 1 species